rnacentral:rRNA from 1 species
CUGAUGCAGCCAUGCCGCGUGUGUGAAGAAGGCCUUCGGGUUGUAAAGCACUUUCAGCGAGGAGGAAAGGUCAGCAGCUAAUACCUGCUGGCUGUGACGUUACUCGCAGAAGAAGCACCGGCUAACUCCGUGCCAGCAGCCGCGGUAAUAC